AUGGUUUUAUCCUCCCCCUGCUGGAAGUACAAGGGGAUUUUUCUCCAAUAUUCACGGAGAAAAGGCCUACACGUUUAUUUAAAAUGUGCACAAGGCAGCCUUCAGAGUAAGGUCCAAACCCCUAAUGAGGUACAGAAGCUUAUAUACCAUCUUGAGGUUAUAGAAACUACACAGUCUUGGCUGGGCGCGGUGGCUCAAGCCUGUAAUCCCAGCACUUUGGGAGGCCGAGACGGGUGGAUCACGAGGUCAGGAGAUCGAGACCAUCCUGGCCAACACGGUGAAACCCCGUCUCUACUAAAAAAUACAAAAAACUAGCCGGGCGAGGUGGCGGGCGCCUGUAGUCCCAGCUACUCGGGAGGCUGAGGCAGGAGAAUGGUGUAAACCCAGGAGGUAGAGCUUGCAGUGAGCUGAGAUCUGGCCACUGCACCCCAGCCUGGGCGACAGAGCGAGACUCCAACUCAAAAAAAAAAAAAAAGAAACUACACAGUCUCAGAGCAUGGGCAAAAACAGAUUAUGUUGGUAAAUCUGGUUUUAUUGGCAAGACAAGUUAUAAGAGGGACAAAGGAAGAGGCUUGGCUAGCACAGGGGGUCUUGUUAUGUAGAUGAAGCCUCAGAGGCAGUAGCCCUUAGAGACAAUAGAUGGUAAAUGUUUCUUUUCAGACUUUCAAAGGUGUCAGUCUCUCCUAGAUUCAGGAAAGGCCUGGAAAGGGAAGACCUGGAUGCAUUAAUGGAGAUUCUCUACAGAUGCAAAUUUCUCCUCAAAAGUCAGCUUUGCAGGGCUAUUUCAAUCAGCUGGCCCUGUGGCAACUAUUCAAAAAUAUAUCCAAAAAAUAUUUUCAGGUAAAAUAUUUUGAUUUCCUUCAGUCCUCACUUGGAAACUUAAAAAAAAAGUUUCAUAUAUUAAAAGCCAGCUUGUUAGCUUUGGAGAGAUUUGGCUUAGAGGUUAUUAGAUAGAGACAGACAAAGAAGUGGAAAGAUAAAUUGGGACCGACAGAAAAGAACACGUUAAAAUAUAUAAUACCGUAUCUCUUUAGUCAGUCUCUUAGCCCUGAGAAGACAGCAGUUCAAUUAAACAGCUAUGUGCCUCUCCGGAAUUUAGCAUUGCUGAUGGGCUAGGACACUAUAUAUGAUGCAAGAAAACACAUCUCCUAUAGGUAUUGUCUAAUUUACCUUUUGAUUUCUUCUUUCAUUUUUAGGUCAUUUAGGAAUGUGUUUUUUAUUUUCCAUGUAUCUGGGAAUGUUCAGUUUGCCUUCUGUUAUUGAAUUCUAGUUUCAUUCCAUUGCAGUUGAAGUAGAUACUUCGUAUAUUUCAGCAUUUUUAAAUUGUUGAGACUUAUGUAAAUCAAAACUAAAAUUCUAACCCCUAUACAACUAAAUGGACCCCUCUUCUAUGGUAAGGGCAUUCCAAAGUUAACCUGAAAAACUAGUUCAGGUCAUGAUGGGAAGGAGUCAAACAUGCCUGGUUAAAUCCUCCUCCCUUUGGAAUGCAGGCACAGCUGACCAGCAUUAACAUUAAAACAGACCUUAAGACUGACAAAACAAACUCUCUGUAGCAAUAAGAUACCAGCAUGACAGAUAGCAGGCCCUAAAAGAAAUCAAAGUAUGUUACCCCAAAAUAUGUUUCUGAGACAUAUUUUGAGGUGGCCUUGCAAAGCUGUCUCUUGUGGGGAAAAUCUACAUCUACAGAGACUCUCCCUCCCUUUCCAGGUCUUUUUCCUGAUCCAAGAGAGAAUUAACUAAGAGUCCAGCAUCUUCUUAAGUCUGAUAAGAAACAUUUACAGUCUAUUCUCUCUGAAUCCUGCUUCCUGGAGACCUCAUUUGCAUAAUAAGAAUAUUGGUCUCCAUUAACCCCUUCUAUUAACCCAGACACCCCCUUCUAUUGAUUCUAGGUCUUUAGAGAAACUCUUCCAACCAAUUGCCAAUCAGAAAAUCUUUUGAAUGUACCUAUGACCUGGAAGCCUCACUUUGAGUUGUCCUGUUUUUCUGGACUGAAUCAAUGUAUAUCUUAUACAUACUGAUUGAUGCCUUAUUUCGCCUCAAAAUGUAUAAAUCCAAGCUGUAGCUGACCACCUUGGGCACAUGCUCUCAGGAUCUCGUGGGGCUGUGUCAUAGCCCAUUGGUCACUCAUAUUUGGCUCAGAAUAAAUCUCUUCAAAUAUCUUGCAGAGUUUGAUUCUUUUUGUUGACACUUGUUUUGUAACCUAUGAUAUGGUAUACUGUGGAAUGUUCUAUAUGCACUUGAGAUAAAUGUGUUUUCUGCUGUUUUUGUGUGGAGAAUUCUGCAUAAGUCUGUUGGGUCUAGUUGGUUAUGGUGUUGUUCAAGUGUUUUAUCCCCUUAUUGAUCUUCUAUUCAUUAUUGAAAGUGGAGUAUUGAUGUUUCCACCUAUUACUGUAGAAUUGUGCCUUUCUCCCUUUAAUUCUCUGUUUACUUGAUAUAUAUUGGAGCUCUGGUAUGAGGUACAAAUAUGUUUAUAAUUAUGACAUCUUCAUGAUGGAUUGACCCAUUUACCAAUGUAUAAUAUUCUUUUGUCUCCUGUAACAUAUCUGACUUAAAGUCUAUUUUGUCUGACAUUAGUAUAGCCAGCUCAACUCUCUUUUGGUUAUUAUUUACUUAGAAUAUCUUUUUCUAGUCCCCACUUUCAAUCUGUUUGUAUCUUUGGAUUUAAAGUGUAUUUCCCAUAAAUUGCAUGUAGCAAAUCUUGUAACUUUUAUUCUGUUUGAUAAUCUCUGCCUUUGAGUUGAAUUGUUUGCUUCAUUCCCAUUAGAUACUAUCUUUCCUUUUACUUUUUAGUUUCUAUAUUUUGCAUAUCUUUUCUUGUUUCUCUAUUCCUCUUUUA
ensembl:lncRNA